AGCCUCACGUGUGAAAUAAAUGCACUCAAAGAUGCUUCACAAGUAGCACUUUGGAGCUUCAGAUGUGAAAUGGAUCAUUCCUCAAUCUGUAAUAAACCCUUCUGUGAAGCUCUUCAAUCAAACCUGAGAAGCCAAGAAGUUUAUUUACUUAAGAGGCGACUGGUGUGCCAAAGGCGGAAAUAAAGGAGAUGUUCUAGAUACUUGGAAGAAGACACUUAAAAAUUGAUUGAAUAUCAGACUUAUGGAGACAAUAUGCCAAUAUGAAAUGUAUCUUUUAGGAUUAAAUUCAGCAUUUGUUACUUAAUAGCAUUUGUCAUCUUCCAAAUUUUCAUAUGCAGCAAAUUAAUUUUAAGUC
ensembl:lincRNA Gm28643 predicted gene 28643